rnacentral:rRNA from 1 species
GACGAACGCUGGCGGCGUGCUUAACACAUGCAAGUCGAGCGGUAAGGCCCUUUCGGGGGUACACGAGCGGCGAACGGGUGAGUAACACGUGGGUGACCUGCCCUCAGCUCUGGGAUAAGCCUGGGAAACCGGGUCUAAUACCGGAUAUGACUCCAUGACGCAUGUUGUGGGGUGGAAAGCCUUGUGCGGCUGAGGAUGGGCCCGCGGCCUAUCAGCUUGUUGGUGGGGUGAUGGCCUACCGAGGCGACGACGGGUAGCCGGCCUGAGAGGGCGACCGGCCACACUGGGACUGAGACACGGCCCAGACUCCUACGGGAGGCAGCAGUGGGGAAUCUUGCGCAAUGGGCGAAAGCCUGACGCAGCGACGCCGCGUGAGGGAUGACGGCCUCGG